UUGGAGGGCAAGUCUGGUGCCAGCAGCCGCGGUAAUUCCAGCUCCAAUAGCGUAUAUUAAAGUUGUUGCAGUUAAAAAGCUCGUAGUUGAAUUUCGGGAUUGACGUGACGGUCGUGCCUUAAGGGGUAUGAACUGUCGCUGUUGAUUUCUCACCUUCUGGAGAAUCUCGAUGCCCUUUAUUGGGUGUCUUGUGGAUCCAGGACCUUUACCUUGAAAAAAUUAGAGUGUUUAAAGCAGGCAUUUUUGCUCGAAUACAUUAGCAUGGAAUAAUAGAAUAGGACGGCUUGGUUCUAUUUUGUUGGUUUCUAGGAUCACCGUAAUGAUUAAUAGGGAUAGUUGGGGGCAUUAGUAUUCAAUUGUCAGAGGUGAAAUUCUUGGAUUUAUUGAAGACUAACUACUGCGAAAGCAUUUGCCAAGGAUGUCUUCAUUAAUCAAGAACGAAAGUUAGGGGAUCGAAGACGAUCAGAUACCGUCGUAGUCUUAACCAUAAACUAUGCCGACUAGGAAUCAGACGAUGUUAAUUUUUUAAUGACUCGUUUGGCACCUUAUGGGAAACCAAAG
rnacentral:rRNA from 1 species